rnacentral:rRNA from 1 species
AAGUCGAGCGGAGACAGUGAGUAGCUUGCUAUGAGCUGUUUUAGCGGCGGACGGGUGAGUAACGCGUGAGCAACCUUUCCCAGACAGGGGAAUAACACAGCGAAAGGUGUACUAAUACCGCAUAAGACCACGGAAUCACAUGGUUCUGGGGUAAAAGAUUUAUCGGUUUGGGGUGGGCUCGCGUCCGAUUAGGUAGUUGGUGAGGUAACGGCCCACCAAGCCGACGAUCGGUAGCCGACCUGAGAGGCUCUUCGGCCACAUUGGGACUGAGAUACGGCCCAGACUCC